rnacentral:rRNA from 1 species
AUUGAACGCUGGCGGCAUGCCUUACACAUGCAAGUCGAACGGUAACAGGUCUUCGGAUGCUGACGAGUGGCGAACGGGUGAGUAAUACAUCGGAACGUGCCCGAGAGUGGGGGAUAACGAAGCGAAAGCUUUGCUAAUACCGCAUACGAUCUCAGGAUGAAAGCAGGGGACCGCAAGGCCUUGCGCUCACGGAGCGGCCGAUGGCAGAUUAGGUAGUUGGUGGGAUAAAAGCUUACCAAGCCGACGAUCUGUAGCUGGUCUGAGAGGACGACCAGCCACCCUGGGACUCAGAGACGGCCCAGACUCCUACGGGAGGCAGCAGUGGGGAAUUUUGGACAAUGGGCGCAAGCCUGAUCCAGCCAUGCCGCGUGCAGGAUGAAGGCCUUCGGGUGGUAAACUGCUUUUGUACAGAACGAAAAGACUCUGGUUAAUACCUGGGGUCCAUGACGGUACCGUAAGAAUAAGCACCGGCUAACUCCGUGCCAGCAGCCGCCGUAACAC